rnacentral:tRNA from 2 species
AAAAUGAGAAUAAAAAGAGAUAGGUGCAGAGACUC